rnacentral:lncRNA from 1 species
AUCAACAGGGGUAAAAAGAAAGAUGCCUAAUUAGAAAAAAAAUUAAAAAUGAAAAAAAAACCCACCCCCUCCAAAAACUAGCACAAACUCCCAGAAGGCACAGGCAUUUAUACUGAAGGGUACACAUAUCCGUAAAAGAGAUAAAGGCUCAUGUAGUGCUGGUCUAGAGGUAAAGGUCUGAGAGGUAAAGGUCUCAGAGAGUUACCACUGUCAAGGUCCUGUCUAGCUGUUGCUACUGCAAGACAUGGAUGAUCAAUCUUCAGAACCCUGCUUCUGAAUGCUGCUUCUUCUCUUCCUCUCUUCUUACAGUAGCACCAGUCAGGAAUAACAGGAAUACCUGCAUACUCUCCCUAACUGAAUAUAGGAAAAGACACAAAAGGAAGAAAAAAGGUGAGAUGUGCUCACAAGAACAAACUCAGGAUUCUCAAAAGCCUCUCACCUAGAAGAACCCAGAUCAUUAGUUUUCCUCUAACAUUUGUUGCAAGAAAUGUCAACUGCUUUACAGAGUACUAAUGGCUCAGAGGUUAAAGCGUCUGCCUCCAAUGUGGGAGACCCAGGUUCGAUCCCUGGGUCGGAAAGAUCCCCUGGAGAAGGAAACAGUAACCCACUCCAGUAUUCUUGCCUGGAGAAUCCCAUGGACGGAGAAGCCUGGUAGGCUACAGUCCACCGGGUUGCAAAGAGUCGGAUACGACUGAGCGACGGAACGGAAGAGGCUCAUGAAAGAAUACAAACAUGAAUAGGGUGUGAAGCCAAUGACAGGCUAAGCUCAAGCAACCUUCUAAAAAAAGGCAGCUCUAACUAAGGCGAUGACUAUUAUAAACCAAAAAAGGAAAGAAUGUUUGUUAGCCAACAGCAGCACCAUUAAACCCAGCCAGUCACCCAGCAAAAACAUUCAGCCUGCUAUGGCAGUUGUAUGAUGUCUCAGAAUAAACUGCAUGCUUUCAUUGCUUUCCAGCUGUACAUUCAUAAUUUCUCAAACUGUGCCCAGGCAGAGAAAGGUGAAAUCAAAAGCAAAGAUUUUCAGGGGACUUCAGUGGGUUCCUCAGCAAGAAUAAGGAACUGUGGCCCUUAUUCUUAACAUUCAAACAACAACAGUCAUCAGGGGCCCUCAUUCACAAUUCAGCAUUUUGUGCCUUGUUUCCUCUUCUUCCUUUCAGAGGGUCUCUUUUCCCACUUCUUCUCCCUGUGUUCACUAACCAGCUCCCUAGCCAUGUUUUGAAUCAGGCCUGCCAGUGAAACUCAGGGGCACAGCUGGCAGAGCUCCAUUUAUUCAGUUUAACAAAUUCCAAUUUUAUGUUCAGCUUGGUCCAGAUGAUGAGGAUCUCAAUGCUCUGAGCUACAUAUGACAGACUUAUUGCCCACUGGUUCUGAGAGACUGGAAACAGCAACUACUUUGAAGAGACUCAGUCACAACCUGAAAUUCUAAGGAAAUGAACCUGCUUUGAAACAUAUUCAAGUGACUUAGGCAGAUACUUUUUUUUUUUUUUGGCCAUGCUGCAUGGUUUGUGGGAUCUUUGUUCCCCAACCAGGGACUGAAACCGUGCCCUCAACAGUGGACGCAAGGAGCCCUAACCACUGGACCGCCAGGAAAUUCCCAGCAGAUACUUACUAGUAUCACCUCUGUUUAAUCCUUUUCUCUCACUCAAAAAGGAUCAAGGUCUAUGCCUUGGAGUGUAACACCAGUCUACCUAAAAGCAAAAAUAGCAUAAUGACCUGGUAAUGGUCUCUUAUUUUUGUUCCCA